GAUGAAGAACGCAGCGAAAUGCGAUAAGUAAUGUGAAUUGCAGAAUUCAGUGAAUCAUCGAAUCUUUGAACGCACAUUGCGCCCGCCAGUAUUCUGGCGGGCAUGCCUGUUCGAGCGUCAUUUCAACCAUCAAGCCCUCGGCUUGUGUUGGGGACCUGCGGCUGCCGCAGGCCCUGAAAACCAGUGGCGGGCUCGCUGUCACACCGAGCGUAGUAGAUUUUCAUCUCGCUCAGGGCGUGCUGCGGGUUCCGGCCGUAAAAAGCCUUAUUUACCCAAGGUUGACCUCGGAUCAGGUAGGAAGACCCGCUGAACUUAAGCAUAUCAAUAAGCGGAGGA
rnacentral:misc_RNA from 1 species